UCCGUAGGUGAACCUGCGGAAGGAUCAUUAACAAAUUCAAAACUCAUCUUCUUGCACACGCCACAGGGUCGUCGUCUCAUCACAGAGGGGCCGGCAUUGGUGUGCAAGGCCAGACUGUGCUUCGGUGCAGUCUGUGAAUAGAUAACAACAACCUUAGACAACACACCAAGUAGAACUUGAUAAUCGUAAACAACUUUUAACAAUGGAUCUCUUGGCUCUUGCAACGAUGAAGAACGCAGCGAACUGCGAAACGUAAUGUGACCUGCACUCUUCGUGAAUCAUCCAAUCUUUGAACGCACUUUGCACCUUGUGGCCCAUGUCACAAGGUAUACUUGUUUGAGUAUCCGAAACAUCUCACCUCCCUCUCGGGGCGAAGUGGACUUGAGACUCGAAGCACACUCUUGUGUGUGCAUCGUUUCUUUAAAUGCGUGGCUGUUUUUGGAUAGACUCUGUUGGGUCUGACCGGCUAUUGGGAUAACAUCCUGACGAUCGCCAGUCAGACCAUUCGGCAUUGACUAUCCUGGCCAUAGUUCGGACGGCGUGCUUUUGCGAGCAACGACGUCCACCAACAACAGUAUAUAUGGAUCUCAAAUCAAGUAAGGAUACCCGCUGAACUUAAGCAUAUCAGUAAGCGGAGGAAAAGAAACUAACAAGGAUUCCCCUAGUAACGGCGAGUGAAGCGGGAAGAGCUCAAAUUUAAAAUCUGGCAUCCUUUGGGUGUCCGAAUUGUAAUUGAGAGGGUUUCCUUUUGACGAAACCGAUGGCCAAAGUUCUCUGGAAAGGGACAACAAAGAGGGUGACAUUCCCGUCUGGGUCAUUGGCGUAGUCAGUAUAAAGGAGGCUCUAAGAGUCGGAUUGUUUGGGAAUGCAGUCCAAAAUGGGUGGUACAUUUCAUCUAAAGCUAAAUAUUGGCAAGAGACCGAUAGCGCACAAGUACCGUGGGGGAAAGAUGAAAAGAACUUUGAAAAGAGAGUUAAAUAGUACGUGAAAUUGUUAAAAGGGAAACGCUUGAAGU
rnacentral:rRNA from 1 species